rnacentral:rRNA from 1 species
GAUGAACGCUAGCUACAGGCUUAACACAUGCAAGUCGAGGGACCGGCGCACGGGUGAGUAACACGUAUCCAACCUGCCCUUUACUCGGGGAUAGCCUUUCGAAAGAAAGAUUAAUACCCGAUAUAAAGGAUGGGGAUGCGUUCCAUUAGGUUGUUGGUGAGGUAACGGCUCACCAAGCCGUCGAUGGAUAGGGGUUCUGAGAGGAAGGGCCCGCACAUUGGACCUGAGCUACGCUCUGCACUCCUACCGGAGGCAGCAGUGAUUAAUACUGGUGAAUGGGGGCUAUCGUGAACCAGCCAAGUAUCGUGAAGGAGGAAGUCUUAUUGUUCGUAAUCUUCUUUUAUAUAAUAAUCUGUAUUAUAUGAAUAAUGAUCGUCUAACUCCGUGUCAGCCGCCGCGGUAAUUC